rnacentral:rRNA from 1 species
AUUGAACGCUGGCGGCAGGCCUAACACAUGCAAGUCGAGCGGGGGAAGGUAGCUUGCUACCGGACCUAGCGGCGGACGGGUGAGUAAUGCUUAGGAAUCUGCCUAUUAGUGGGGGACAACAUCUCGAAAGGGAUGCUAAUACCGCAUACGUCCUACGGGAGAAAGCAGGGGAUCUUCGGACCUUGCGCUAAUAGAUGAGCCUAAGUCGGAUUAGCUAGUUGGUGGGGUAACGGCCUACCAAGGCGACGAUCUGUAGCGGGUCUGAGAGGAUGAUCCGCCGCACUGUGACUGAGACACGGCCCAGACUCCUACGGGAGGCAGCAGUGGGGAAUAUUGGACAAUGGGGGGAACCCUGAUCCAGCCAUGCCGCGUGUGUGAAGAAGGCCUUAUGGUUGUAAAGCACUUUAAGCGAGGAGGAGGCUACUCUAGUUAAUACCUAGGGAUAGUGGACGUUACUCGCAGAAUAAGCACCGGCUAACUCUGUGCCAGCAGCCGCCGCGG